GACGAACGCUGGCGGCGUGCCUAACACAUGCAAGUGGAGCGACGAACCGGGCUUCGGCCCGGGGCAAAGCCGCGAACGGGUGAGUAACACGUGGGUAACCUGCCCCGAUGAUUGGGACAACCCGAGGAAACUCGGGCUAAUACCGAAUGUGCCCUACAGCUUCAAGGCUGAUGGGGAAAGGAAGCUUCGGCCUCCGCAUCGGGAUGGGCCCGCGGCCCAUUAGCUUGUUGGUGAGGUAACGGCUCACCAAGGCGACGAUGGGUAGCUGGUCUGAGAG
rnacentral:rRNA from 1 species